CAGAGGGCAUCGCAGAGGAGAAACAGUCCAUGGCAGGCAGGGGGCAGCCAACCCAGCAAGCUACAAGCAACAAGCGAGGAGCACAGCUCUUUGUGUCCCUUAUAACUUAUCCAGGCUACCUGGCCUUAGGGUGAGUAGUACUCACACCUUUAGUCUUAGCAUCACACAGUGAAUCAAUCCCAGCAUCAAAUCCUUCAUCCCAGCGUUAUACACCCUGACCCAGCUACCUCCGAAAAGCUCCACCUAUGACCACAUGUGGCUCUGAGGCAACGUCUAAAUACAGCCAUAACAUUCUUUGAAUCAUUUUCUUUUAUUUUUCCCUUCCUGCUCCCUCCUCUUCCUUCUCUUUCUUCCCUCCCUCCUUCCCUUCCUGCCUUCCUUUUUCAGUAUGGAGGAUUGAACCCAGGGCCUCUGCACUGAACUACACCUCCACUCUUGUUCUUUUUAAAAUUCUUCAGUCCUUUAUUUAUUGAGACAGUUUUUUUCUAAAUUGCUACAUUGACUAGGGGCACACAGUCCCUGCUGAGGCCACACUACCUGUGACCUACAGACUCUCCCAAGUACCACCUCUCCAAGGUUCCCCCUGGGGAGCAAACCUCUAAUCCAGAGGCCUGUGGGGUCAUGUAGCAUCCAAACCAUAACAAGGCCCUAGAUUAAAAGCUGCUCUAGUUCCAGCAUUCUGGAGGCAGGAGGAUGGCAAGUGUGAGAGUUGAGGGUUCGAGAUGUAGCUUUGUGGUAGAACAUUUCCUGAGCAUGCACAGGUCCUGGUUUUGAUCCCCAGCACCACAAAGAGCGUGGGAGGGCAAGCCAGUGGGCAGUGGCAUGGUGGACCACACCUGUAAUCCCAGCAUUUGGGAGGCUGAGGCAGGAGGAUGCAAGGCAGGCUGGGCUGCAUGUUGAGUGACUGUCUCAGGAGAGGAAAAUAACAGGAAAAGAGACACUGAUGAAUAGAAACAGACCCAAAAAAACCCAGAUGGCAGAAGUGGUAGCCAAGGGCGUUAAAAUGUUACCUUGGCUUUGUGGUCAAGCAGCACCAGGCUUGGUUACCAGUACACACUGCCGUGACGCAGAAAAGCUCACAGGAACAUCCUGCAGGGAAGAGCCGGAAGUCUCACGGUGGCAGAUCCUGUGAAUAUGGAUGAGGACACAGUGGCAUGUUUACAUGAGCUGCCUUUCCUUUGGAAGACACUUGGCAACAUCAUGUACCAUAUUUUUGAUCAUACCUCAUAAAGACAUGCAGGAAAGAGGACUUCCAGAAGAGAUUUAGAAAGUGGCAGAAGGAUAGGCUAAGGAGGGAGGAGGAUUAUGAGGGGGACUCAUGGAAAUGUGUCUUUUUCUGUAAUAAUUGAAAACAACUGUAACAUUCAUUGCCUAGUUCAGUCACACCUCAUGUGCUGUUUUCUCCUCCGCACUGACUUUCACAUCCCCAUGCCCACUGUUCCUUCACCUUCAAGGACUCAGGGAGGCUCCUGGGCAGGGAUUUAUACAGGGUCAGGUCUGGGAAUCAUGCAGCAGCAGCAUUUGGUAGAAUGGUUUAGUCUUGAGCCCUUCAAGAGGAAACUCUGAAAACAAGACGUAAACGAGACAUUUAUGGAACCAAAGGAAUUAAAAGUGCACCUCCUACACAUCCAUUCAGGUAAUACUCAUGAGGUCUGGACUGUUGGACUCAUUUUCCUUUGGAGACACCAAAGCUCAGAGUCCAAGUAACUUCCCUGAGUUCUACCAGAAAGAGAGGUGAAGUCAGGCUUUGGAACCACAUAGGAUUGACUGCAAAUGCCAUGCCUUCCCCCUUGGUGGAAGGAAUGAUGAAUAUUAAGAGUGUAAGCCAAGAAAUCAUAAGAUAAAAGCAAAGUGGAAGGAAUAUAGACUUGGGAUUUUCAAACAAGAAGUAGAUCAUGACUUGAUAUUCUUUGGGGUAGAUAAGCAGGGUCAGAGAAAGUUCAGCAUGCAUCAGGGUGUUUGUAAAUUUUGUGAUUGCACUGCUAUAUCCUGGUCAAGAAGCAAAACAAACAAUCUAGUUUCCCCAAGCUUGCAAAGUAUUGCUAGGUCGCAGAAAAUCUCUCUAACAGGUUCCAUUCCUGCUAUGAUGUCUAUGUGGCAGUUUACCCCGUCAAUAAAUUCUGUAAGGACCAGAAAAGGAUUUUUGCUCUUUUUGACCAUUCUGCAGGCUUUUGAUUUUUAUGUUGUCAAGACUUCUCGGAGGUUCUCAAAUGCCAGUAGUAAAAUCCUCCCCCAUAACUCUUUCCUAUGUUUUGGUCAGCCCAUACCCAAGAAGAUGUCUUGCAUUGGGAAUAGAGGAUAUCAUCUCCCAGAAGACAUAUGUGGAUGGAAAACUUAAGACAAAGAAUUUGCAGACAUUUUCACAAAAGGCCAUCUAGCAAAUAUUUUAGGGCUAUGGCUAUUUUGGAAGUUGUUCCAGUUUCAUUACAAUAAUUGAAAAAUAAGGAAAAGUUCUGAAACAUAGCUGUAAAAUUCAGUUGAAAUGACUUAGGAAAUGUACCAGAAAUUUAACAACAACUUGGAGGAGGCCCUUUGCAUACGUGACAUGGCUUAAAACUCAAGCUGGGCUUAAAUUUUCACUCUCCUGCUUACUUUGUGGAGUUGCUUAACCAAUCAGAACUCAAAAUGCUUUCUCAGCAGUAAAAUGGAAAUUAGAAUGCGUGGAUUCCAAUUAGAAUGAAUUAUCAGAGCUAGAGAAUUAAGCAAUGUAAUGCAUAUCAGAUGCUUAGCACUAUACCUGGCAUAAAGAAAGUACAGCACUUAACAUGCUAGUUUUCUGUAUUGAUUUAGUAUUGAUCAAUUUGUCAUUUAUGAAUGUAGUGACUGUAGCCAAUGAUGUAAAAAAAUAAUUAAAAACAUGAAUAUAGCAAGUUAAUUAAUAUAAGAGAAAGAAGCCAUGGAUCAGAUAAUUGAAAGACAUUAACAAAUUAACAGGGAUGUUUAGAAAUUUUUUAUCAACAGAGGUGAAAUUGUUAAUAAAUGUUUGCUAAUUGAUGGGGAAAAUGAAAGCAUUUUGUCUCUUUUGGGAUCAUAGGGCUUUUACAAUGACACUGUAUCCUAUAACUUGAUGAAGUUAUCUUUAUUUUUUAAAUUAUAAAUAUGAAUACAUUACUUGCACCAAUUAAUGGGCUUCACUAGACCUUUCCAUACAUGGAUGUGUCCUGUAGUAAUUGUAUCCACCCUCCCUACCACCCUUUCUCGCCCUCCCUUCUUCUGUUUCCUUCUCCUGGCUCCUUUUCUUUUUCUUAGUAGUCUCUGCGCUCCUUUCAGGUUCCCUCCCUGCCUUCCUUCCUUCCUUGCCUCCUUCCUUUGUUCGUUGCUACACAGCACAUAGGAGAAUGGUGCUUGGCUUUCUGAGUCUGGCUGAUUUUGUUUAACAUGAUGAUCCAGUUCCAUCCAUUUUCCUGCAAGUGGCGUGAUUUUACUUGAG
rnacentral:lncRNA from 1 species